rnacentral:rRNA from 1 species
UACGUAGGGGGCAAGCGUUGUCCGGAAUCAUUGGGCGUAAAGCGCGUGUAGGCGGCUUCGUCAGUCCGUUGUGAAAGUCCAGGGCUCAACCCUGGAAUGCCGAUGGAUACUGCGGAGCUUGAGUCCGGAAGGGGCGAGUGGAAUUCCUGGUGUAGCGGUGAAAUGCGCAGAUAUCAGGAGGAACACCAAUGGCGAAGGCAGCUCGCUGGAACGGUACUGACGCUGAGGCGCGAAAGCGUGGGGAGCGAACAGG